GAUGGGAUAGCUCAGCUGGUAGAGCAUAAGACUCUUAAUCUUAGGAUUGUGGGUUCGAACCCCACGUUGAGCA